CAUGUCAGCUGCACUGAGUGAAAUUUGCACUUUGAUUUUUCCAGAAGGUAGACUGGUUUCUGUUUCAGAGAAAGAGAGAAGAGAGUGAGUUCCGAUCAACGCUCUUACACAACGGAUUAUUGCAGAAGGCACUCACUGGGACUGUGAUUAUCUUCAAAGUGAAAACAAAUACUUGAGGAGCAAAUAGCAGAGUCUACACUGAUUUUUUCACCAGUUUCAGCCAAAUACAGGAUCUGACAAGAUGGGAAGGCGUAAGUCUGCAUGGAUUUUUAAAAAGU